AGAUUACUUGUACAGUCCAUGGAGAAUUAUUGAUCAAUGGCCCUACUAUAUGCAUAGUAUCUUGGGCCCUAAGUGCAAACAUAUUGGACCUUUGAUUUAACUAUCCAGAUUGUCAAUCUGAAGGGUUCCACCAUGAAUGGACCAAGCCCCAAAAAUCUCCAGGCCACUGAAUGAAGUCUUACGAUCAUCCCAUCAGUGAGAGUUUUGGGUAAUGGUUCAUUCAGGGCUAUGCCCAUCCAAUCAAUGCUCUGGAUCACCAAACAACAGACCUCAGAUAUUGGAGCAAGGGGUGGAAGGAUACCACACAUAUCCUCAGGCCAAAGAUCAUUUAAAUGCUACAACUCUAUCUACCUUCAAUUUUUGGUGGUACCA